AAAUCAACUUUAUAACGGCGUAAAGAGUGGUCAUAUGUUAUCCAAGUAGCUAAGAUUAAAAAGCAGCUGAGCUGUCAUAAGCCCAAGAUGCGUCACAAGGCCUCUUUUCAAAGAAAAUCUUAGACCAACGAUCAAUUAAAGCCACGAAAGCCAGGGCCCAAACUGGGAUUAGAUACCCCACUAUGCCUGGCCCUAAAUCUUGAUGCUCGAUCUAACCGGAGCAUCCGCCCGAGAACUACGAGCACAAACGCUUAAAACUCUAAGGACUUGGCGGUGCUCCAAACCCACCUAGAGGAGCCUGUUCUGUAAUCGAUGAUCCACGAUAUACCUGACCAUUCCUUGCCAAAAACAGCCUAUAUACCGCCGUCUCCAGCCCACCCUCCAUGAAGGUUCAACA
rnacentral:rRNA from 1 species